UACAGAGGAUGCAAGCGUUAUCCGGAAUGAUUGGGCGUAAAGCGUCUGUAGGUGGCUUUUCAAGUCCGCCGUCAAAUCCCAGGGCUCAACCCUGGACAGGCGGUGGAAACUGCCAAGCUGGAGUACGGUAGGGGAAGAGGGAAUUUCCAGUGGAGCGGUGAAAUGCGUAGAGAUCGGAAAGAACACCAACGGCGAAAGCACUCUGCUGGGCCGACACUGACACUGAGAGACGAAAGCUAGGGGAGCGAACGGG
rnacentral:rRNA from 1 species